UACGUAGGGUGCGAGCGUUGUCCGGAAUUAUUGGGCGUAAAGGGUGCGUAGGCGGUUCGUUAAGUCUGCUGUGAAAGCCCUGGGCUCAACCUGGGAACUGCAGUGGAUACUGGCGGACUAGAGUGUGAUAGAGGAUAGUGGAAUUCCCGGUGUAGCGGUGAAAUGCGUAGAGAUCGGGAGGAACACCAGUGGCGAAGGCGGCCAUCUGGAUCAACACUGACGCUGAGGCACGAAA
rnacentral:rRNA from 1 species